rnacentral:lncRNA from 1 species
AAGUGUUGAUACCCCAAAUACUCGCUGGAAAUUGACCAAACUGAGUGAGACUACAAACUAAGAACAGUACAUAACCAACACUAAUUUCAACAUCUAACACUCCAAACAGCAAUUACAACACAUCGUUUAGUUUCAUAAACUAAGAACAGUACAUAACCAACAUCAACUUCAACAUCUAACACUCCAAACAGCAAUUACAACAUAUCGUUUAGUUUCAUAUACAGAGAGUAACGGUAACAAGACGAUUAACAAAGUUCUGUAAGAUUAAACGUCUGAAUCAUUGUUUGUAGAUAACAAUGGCCAGUGUGUGCGCGGAAAGCAUCCUUUUGUCAGCUCCAUUAUAUGUAUACAAACAGGUACAUCUAAGACCCCCUGCAUCUUUUUUAUUAAUAUUGUGGCUGUGUUCAUUGUCAAGUCAAAGUCAAUACAAAUGCGCAUUUGCACGGUUUAGCACCCCCUUCUUUCCAGAAAUCCUGCCCCCAGAAAAAAGAGAGAAAAGCAGGAGCAACAGAAUAGGGAACAGUGGUCAACUAUUGGUAAGGCUUACACUCAAUCCAUUAGA